UACGGAGGAUCCGAGCGUUAUCCGGAUUUAUUGGGUUUAAAGGGAGCGUAGAUGGGUUGUUAAGUCAGUUGUGAAAGUUUGCGGCUCAACCGUAAAAUUGCAAUUGAUACUGGCAGUCUUGAGUACAGUUGAGGUAGGCGGAAUUCGUGGUGUAGCGGUGAAAUGCUUAGAUAUCACGAAGAACUCCGAUUGCGAAGGCAGCUUACUAACCUGUAACUGACAUUGAUGCUCGAAAGUGUGGGUAUCAAACA
rnacentral:rRNA from 1 species